rnacentral:rRNA from 1 species
CGAUGAUCAGGAGCUUGCUCCUGUGAUUAGUGGCGAACGGGUGAGUAACACAUGAGUAACCUGCCCCUGACUCUGGGAUAAGCGUUGGAAACGACGUCUAAUACUGGAUACGACUGCCGGCCGCAUGGUCUGGUGGUGGAAAGAUUUUUUGGUUGGGGAUGGACUCGCGGCCUAUCAGCUUGUUGGUGAGGUAAUGGCUCACCAAGGCGACGACGGGUAGCCGGCCUGAGAGGGUGACCGGCCACACUGGGACUGAGACACGGCCCAGACUCCUACGGGAGGCAGCAGUGGGGAAUAUUGCACAAUGGGCGAAAGCCUGAUGCAGCAACGCCGCGUGAGGGAUGACGGCCUUCGGGUUGUAAACCUCUUUUAGUAGGGAAGAAGCGAAAGUGACGGUACCUGCNNAAAAAGCACCGGCUAACUACGUGCCAGCAGCCGCGGUAAUACGUAGGGUGCAAGCGUUGUCCGGAAUUAUUGGGCGUAAAGAGCUCGUAGGCGGUUUGUCGCGUCUGCUGUGA